GUUGCUGCUGCUGCUGCUGCUGCUGUUGCUGCUGCUUCUGCCGCUGCAGCGGGCAGCAGAAGGGACAAACGCUGGGGUUUAGCGCUGGGAGGGGGGCCCUCAGCGCCUGCUUCAGCGUUAGCAG
rnacentral:snoRNA from 1 species